rfam:Gossypium arboreum cultivar AKA8401 contig_10688_5, whole genome shotgun sequence.
UGUUAAAAAUUCGAUCCACUUUUACUGUUAAAAAUUAGAAAAGCUAAUAGAAAAACUAAAUAAUGACACGAGAUAUGUUAUGUGUAUCUUAUGCUGAUAUACACUUACCAAUUUUUAAUAGUAGAAAUGGAUAAAAUUUUUAACA